UGCAAACAUUUAGUAAACAUGCAUAGUCUCUUAUUAUACUCAACAGAGAGAUCCAGAUAUUCAUCUCUUCGGCGCUAGAUUUUAUGAGAAGAAUUUUCAAUUUUCGAAAGCUCGUGCUGCCUAUCAAUUUGUGCAUUCUGAAAUCUCACCCGGUCAUGUUGAAGCAAUAAUUGAGCAUGCGAGAUUUGAACUUCGGCAGGGUGAUGCGAAAAAGGCUUUUUCUGUGCUUGAGAAGGCCAUUCCUACUGGAACAGGGACAGAGCAGGCACAAAAAAUAUUUCAUUCCUUGAUAGCUGAUGAGUAUGAAAAAUCAAAAAAAAAGGUUCGCCGAAUUUCAUUUUAGUAAAGCCAAACGUCCCAAGUUACAUGCUUGUUAUGGAUGAUGUAGGACAUCAUCAAUGUGUUUUAAUAGACUAAAACGUCCCUAGUUUUAGUCUAUUUCUUAAAGGAAUUUUUUACUAGCUCAUGGGUGAAUCCAACAAAAAAAAUUGCACUGUCAGACUAACCACACGAUCAUCACAGCAGGCCGAAUCGAAGCAAACCAAAGCCAAGCUGAUAAGAUCAUGUACAGCCACAAGGCUUACAUGUCACCACCAGGAUACUGCAGCGGCAAGCAGUCUAAAAAUGUGCAGUCAAUGUUUCUUAAAACAAGAAAGUCUAGGUACUGUGUUGGCAACCAAGCUAUAUGAUAUUCCCUGUUUUUAAUGCCUGUUGCCAGCUUUUUAGUUAUUUUUCUCUUUAACAAAUAUGUAAUCUUAAAAAGGAAACAUUCGUUAUAGCUUAUUCACUGUCGAAGCCUGUGAUUUCUCCAGGUAUUAUCUGACAA